GCAGGGUGAUGCUAGAACUUCCACGUUGCCCACGAGUGUAGGUACGUUCUCCGUGGCCCCAGGCCUGGACUCCUGCUUCGAGGUGGACCGCUCUGGUUUCCUGGCCCCAGACGUACCUGUGAGCUCGCCUAGGUGUGAAGGGGAGCAGAGAGAGAGGGCGCCUGGACACUGAAUGGUCGCUGGAAGUGACGUCUCUGCUGUUUCCGAGGGAGCCCGCUCAACUUUGAUCUUACAAAAUUUGCUUCCUGGGCUAUGGGAGAUGUCAGCGAAUUAAAAAUGCAAAUAACACCAGAAACUCCAGGAAGGAUCCCUGUUUUAAAUCCCUUUGAAAGUCCCAGUGAUUAUUCUAAUCUCCAUGAACAAACCCUUGCUAGUCCUUCUAUCUUUAAGUCCACAAAACUACCAACUCCAGGGAAAUUUAGGUGGUCUAUUGAUCAGCUGGCCAUAAUAAACCCUGUAGAGAUCGAUCCAGAGGAGAUCCAUCGGCAGGCUUCCUACCUAAGGCUUUCUCGAAUAGAUAAAGAUGUGGAAGACAAAAGACAAAAAGCCAUUGAAGAGUUUUUUACUAAAGAUGUCAUUGUGCCCUCUCCCUGGACUGAUCAUGAUGGAAAACAGCCUUCAGAGCUUCAUCCCAGUAAAUGCCUAAGUAGCCAUGAUGACUCUCCUGAUGGGAAAAAGCCAAGUCUUCCCUCACAGAAGUGCAACGCUGCCUGCCAGACUCUGCUGUCUCUUCCUGUGGAUUUUAAUUUGGAAGCCAUAUUAGGAGACUAUUUUAGAGAAGAGGACUUUGUGGCCCACACUCCUGGGAACCUCAGUUCUUCAUCUCUGAGAAGAAAGCUCUUUUUGGAUGGGAAUGGAAGCAUCUGUGACCCUUUGCCUUCGCCGUCGCCCGGAAGUCCUCCCUGCAGUGCCCGGGGGUCGCUCGAGGGACAGUUUUCUUCCAGCCCCAUUCAGAACAGUGUGAAAAAAUACAGCUUGGGAAGCGUCACCACGAGCCCGUCGGCCAUCUCCUCACCUACCUUCUCACCUAUCGCACUUCAAGGAGGAAAGACGCCGCUCUCAGGUCAAAUCUAAGUGGAUCAAGGAACUCCACAUAAAACCAGAGACACUGAAACUUAUAGAGGAGAAAGUGGGGAAGAGUCUCGAAGAUAUGGGCACAGGGGAAAACUUCCUGAACAGAACAUCAUGGCUUAUGCUGUAAGAUUGGGAAUCAAAUGGGACCUCAUAAAAUUGCAAGGCUUUGGAAGGUAAGGCAAAGACACCGUCAAUAAGACAAAAAGGCCACCAACAGAUUGGGAAAGGAUCUUUACCAAUCCUAAAUCAGAUAGGGGACUAAUAUCCAAUAUAUAUAAAGAACUCAAGAAAAUGGACUCCAGAAAAUCAAAUAACCCCAUUAAAAAAAUGGGGCUCAGAGCUAAACAAAGAAUUCUCAACUGAGGAACACCAAAUAGCUGAGAAGCACCUGAAAAAAUGUUCAAAAUCCUUAAUCAUCAGAGAAAUGCAAAUCAAAACAACCCUGAGAUUCCAACUCACACCAGUCAGAAUGGCUAAGAUCAAAAAUUCAGGUGACAGCAGAUGCUGGCGAGGAUGUAGAGAAAGAGGGAUACUCCUCCAUUGUUGGUGGGACUGCAAGCGUGUACAACCACUCUGGAAAUAAUUCUGGCGGUUCCUCAGAAAAUUGGACAUAGUAUUACUGGAAGAUCCAGCAAUACCACUCUUGGACACAUACCCAGGAGAUGUCCCAACUUGUAAUAACAACACAUGCUCCACUAUGUUCAUAGCAGCCUUAUUUAUAAUAGCCAGAAGCUGGAAAGAACCCAGAUGUUCCUCAACAGAGGAAUGGAUACAGAAAAUGUGGUACAUUUACACAAUGGAGUACUGCUCAACAAUUAAAAACAAUGAAUUUAUGAAAUUCUUAGGCAAAUGGAUGUAUCUGGAGAGUAUCAUCCUGAGUGAGGUAACCCAAUCACAAAAGAACUCGCAUGAUAUGCACUCACUGAUAAGCAGAUAUUAACCAAGAAACUACCCAAGGUACAAUUUACAAAACACAUGAAACUCAAGAAGGAAGACCAAAGUGUGGAUACUUCAUUCCUCCUUAGAAUGGGGAAUAAAAUACCCAUGAAGGGAGUUACAGAGACAAAGUUCGGACCUGAGACGGAAGAAAGGACCAUCCAGAGACUGCCCCAUUCAGGGAUCCAUCCCAUAUACAACCAUCAAACCCAGACACAUUGCAUACGCAAGCAAAAUUUAGCUGUCAGGACCCUGAUACAGAACCCAGGAAGCUUACGUUUCAUUCUCCCGAAGCUUCGUGUGCAACAGCUUCUACGGGGAUCGUUAACCCGAGCAUCAGGAGUCCGUACAUAGAUGGCUGCUCGCCAAUCAAAAACUGGUCUCCUCGGAGACUGAGAGGUGGCCCUCAGUGUUUGUCCUCCCUGGUCCGCAUACCUUUUACCCUUGAGGCUCACAGUGAAGAUGAAGAGGCGGACGUUUCCUGCACAGGCGCGGCUCCACUCAGCACAAAUGCUUGUGGUGAGCCUCGAGUUGUCACUGCCAUGUCUGUUACACAGAGUCACUCUGGUAUUGCUGAGAAAGAGCGAGCAGUGCUGGACGAUGCGGAAAGUGAGAGGGAAAAUGACACCGUGGAUAUGGUCGAUCCUACAGACACAGUAGCUGAAAGCACGUGGAUAAAAGAGCCAGUGGAUGAUGGGAAUUCACCCAUGACGGAUUCCGCGAGUGGAAUUGCCUUCAGUAUUGAAAACUCUCAUAUGUGCAUGUCGCCUCUUGCAGAAAGCAGUGUCCUGCCUUAUGAAAGCAGUGCUAUCCAGAUGAAUAGUGACUAUAACACACAGACUUGUGUAAGUAAUAUCACUGAUAUUGUUGGGACAGAAAGAUAUUGCAAAGAAAAUGUCACACAUACAAAUGUUCCAGUGCCCUUUGAAGUGGAAAUGAAAUCUCAAGUUAAUAACGUAACGCCCGGCCACACAGCGCAGCGGUGCUGGAUGAAAUCUCCGCGUCCAUCUCAGUGCAGCCGCCCGUAGUCUCAAGACCAAAGACGGGUGCUCAGCGAGUUAGUGUGAUGCUGAUGGGUGCCUGCUUCACGUACUGUGCCUACUUCCCUCAGUAAUGUGAAAGGCUGCAAAGGAAAUUGGUGCUAGGACCAGAAACUCCAAGUUGUUAAAUUAUGUUUUUUUUAAAUCAAUAAAUAUUUCUAUAUUUGCUUCAAGUGGCUUGUUUAACAAGUAAAUUAUGGCAGACCUCAUGGCUUUCUCCUGUCCUACAGGGUCAAUGAACUGCUUGUUAAGACUUUGAAUGGUAGUCUUGAAUUUAUCAGUUCUAGGAACAUGAGAAAAAUGUGGAAACGGAAUGCACUAUGUAUUUUUACAUGAAACUGUGUGAAAGAAGUCUUGAAAUAUAAAACUUACAGAGGUAAAAGGAAGUAAAAUGGACUCCCUAAAAUUUCAUUUCUGUGGGGAAAUUACUUGGUUCGUGGUAUAAGCGCGCUAGUUAAUACUCUGAACACUAUAAAUGUAGAAAGGUGCUACUGGGCACCAUCCAAAUGCUGCCAUCUGUAGGGGCGAACAUGGGCUGCCACGAUAGCAUGUACCUCCAUUCCUAGGCUUGGUGGGGAGAUGAACAGAACACAGCAGAGUCAGAAUCACUGGGAGACCGGGGAAUUUCUGUUGAGAACUAUGAAGAAACAAUUGGGAAAAUAGCUAAAUAAAAUACAUUUAAAAACCUGUCUGUAUUAGAAAAGAGGUGGAUAUAAUAAUGUGUUUGAGAACAAAGACUGUAUUUUUGUACUUUCUUAAAAACUACAUAACUCAAAAUGAUUCAUUAGUCCUAGAAAAUAAAGAUUUACUACCGUUA